UACGAAGGGUGCUAGCGUUGUUCGGAAUCACUGGGCGUAAAGGGUACGUAGGCUGUCAAGUAAGUCGAUCGUGAAAGCCCCGAGCUUAACUCGGGAACAGCGGUCGAAACUGCAGGGCUAGAGUAUAAUGGGGGAUAGUGGAAUUCUUAGUGUAGGGGUGAAAUCCGUAGAUAUUAAGAGGAAUACCGGUGGCGAAAGCGACUAUCUAGGUUAUUACUGACGCUGAGGUACGAAAGCGUGGGGAGCAAACAGG
rnacentral:rRNA from 1 species